CCCAGAAGGCUAGGCGAUAAUUGACAGCUCUAUCAGCCUAUGGACAGAGAAAAAUUCUAGCCAUGGAAACUGAGAAGCCAAUAGCAAGAGGACGGGGGCGGUACUUUCCGGCCGCUGGCUGUCGAAGCCGGAGUCCCACCUGUGUCCCCACAGCCCUGUCACGAAUCCCGGUCGGGUUCUGGGAGGCACCGCCUCGGGGUUGCGGGCCGGGUGCGGCUCGGCGGUGGAGGACUCACUUCCUGCUCCAUCCCCGGCUGGGCCCUGGGGCGGAACUGAUGACCCUUGAUAAUGUGGCUGGGGACUUCAGGGAAGAGUGGGUUACCUGGACACUGCUUAGAGAAUCCUCUUCAGGAAUGCCACCCAGCACAGUUAGAAGAAUGGGCUCUCAAAGGAAUUUCCAGGCCUAGUGUAAUCUCCCAGCUGGAGCAGAAAGAAGAGCCAUGGGUCCUACCACUCCAAAACUUUGAGGCGAGGAAGAUCCUGAGGGAAAGCCACACAGACUGUGAGCAUCAGGUGGCAAAGCUCAAUCAGGACAGUUCUGAAACAGCAGAACAAUGUGGAACAUCCUCAGAAAGGACCAAUAAAGAUCUUUCUCAUACUCUUAGUUGGGAAGGAAACUGGGAGCAAGGCCUAGAAUUAGAAGGGCAACAUGGAACCCUUCCAGGAGAGGGCCAGCUGGAGUCCUUUUCACAGGAGAGGGAUUUAAACAAGCUCCUGGAUGGAUAUGUAGGAGAGAAGCCUAUGUGUGCAGAAUGCGGGAAAAGCUUUAACCAGAGUUCCUAUCUCAUAAGACACCUAAGAACCCACACUGGCGAGAGGCCCUAUACAUGUAUUGAGUGUGGGAAAGGCUUCAAACAGAGCUCAGACCUUGUCACCCAUCGCAGAACACACACAGGAGAGAAGCCCUACCAAUGCAAGGGGUGUGAGAAAAAAUUCAGCGACAGCUCCACACUCAUCAAACAUCAGAGAACCCACACAGGGGAGAGACCCUAUGAGUGUCCAGAGUGUGGAAAGACUUUUGGGCGGAAGCCACACCUCAUAAUGCACCAAAGAACCCACACAGGCGAGAAGCCCUACGCGUGCCUGGAAUGUCACAAAAGCUUCAGUCGAAGCUCAAAUUUCAUCACUCACCAGAGGACCCACACAGGGGUGAAGCCUUACAGGUGUAAUGACUGUGGGGAGAGUUUUAGCCAGAGCUCGGAUUUGAUUAAGCACCAACGAACCCACACGGGAGAACGGCCCUUCAAAUGCCCGGAGUGCGGGAAGGGCUUCAGAGAUAGUUCUCAUUUUGUAGCUCACAUGAGCACUCAUUCAGGAGAAAGGCCUUUCAGUUGUCCUGACUGCCACAAAAGCUUCAGUCAGAGCUCGCAUUUGGUCACGCACCAAAGAACACACACAGGUGAGAGACCUUUUAAGUGCGAAGACUGUGGGAAAGGAUUCGCCGACAGCUCCGCCCUCAUUAAGCACCAACGAAUCCACACCGGAGAAAGACCCUACACAUGUGGAGAGUGUGGGAAGAGCUUCAACCAGAGCUCCCACUUUAUUACCCAUCAGCGAAUCCACUUAGGAGACAGGCCCUAUCGAUGUCCUGAGUGUGGCAAGACCUUCAAUCAGCGUUCCCAUUUCCUCACACACCAGAGAACGCAUACAGGAGAAAAACCUUUCCACUGCAGUAAAUGUAACAAGAGCUUCCGUCAGAAAGCGCAUCUUUUAUGCCAUCAAAACACGCAUUUGAUUUAGAAAGUAGUCUUUGGUGUUGUGCUGCUCCCUUGCACAUUUUCAUUGCUACUGUCUUCAAGCACCCCAAAUAGAGAAAACCUGGGCAUCAGUGGCUCAGUUUGGGCCCUGAUCUAUUCUCCCUCUUUCUUGUCUGUGUUAUAACAGAGAGGAUAAACUUAAAGGGUCCAAAUAACGGUCCGAAUACAAAAGGCAUUCCUUCAGUGUGUGACCGACUCUUAGGGAAAUGUGAGUUUAAUAGUUGAUGCCAGCCAGGCGUGGUGGCUCACCCCUGUAAUCCCAGCACUUUUGGGAGGCCAAGGCGGGUGGAUCACUUGAGGUCAGGAGUUGAGACCAGCCUGGUGAACAUGGUGAAACCUCGUCUCUACUAAAAAUGCAAAAAUUAGCUGGGCAUGGUGGCACGUGCCUGUAGUCCCAGCUACUCGGGAGGCCGAGGCAGAAGAAUCAUUUGAACUCAGAAGGUGCAGGUUGCAGUGAGUUGAGAUCAUGCCACUGCACUCCAGCCUGGGCAACAGAGAGAGACUCUGUCUCCAAAAAAAUUAAAAAGUUGAUGCCUAGUUACUAAAUGAGAAGUGAGAAAAAUGUGGCCUAGAGAUCAUAUGUUCACCACCUAGUACAGUGCCUGGCACAACAUAGAUGCUCAAUAACUAAAUGGUCCCAUCAUUAUUAAUGAUUAAUAUUUGAGGUCUUAUAUAAAGGCUUUAAUGCAGUACCUGGCCCUUAAAAGACACUCAAUACAAGAUUGGUGGCUUUUAUCAGUCUCAUUACUCAAUUAGAAAUUUAUUAGUGUAGUCCCCCCACCCCAAACUCAGAACGUGAAAGAAAUUAGAUUGGAACUAGAAGGUUUGGGGUUGGAAUACACAAAUUGAAUAAAAUGGAAAUGCACUCCCAGUUCAGUGCUGUGCAGGCAUUAGUCACCAGAGGUCUCACUGCCAUGACAAGGCCAAAUUAUCGUAGAGGAUGUUUGCGGUCUUGUGACUUGGAGGCUGAAAGAAUUUCAGAAGCUCUUUGAAAUGGCAGUGUAUGGCAGUGUAUCUACCGGAGGUUUGCUGUCAUCUGACACAGAGAAAAUAUCCUACAAUGAACAAGCCAGAGGGACCUGGUAGAGGACUAUAAAAUUGUGGAAGCAAAAUUGCUGAGAAUGUCAAAUGAUAUUACAGGGGUCCUCCCUGGCAUUUAGCUGAAGGAAGCGACUCUUGUUUUCUAAUUUGCUGGGUCAUUGGCCAUUUAGUUUUAGGUUAAUAUAAUUCUCUGAUCCUUUUAGGGCCAUCCAGGUUAUGCACUAGUACAGUCCUACAUUCAAUUGAAAUAAAUUGAGGGAUGGCAGUGUGUUGGAAAGAACACCGACUUCAUUGAGAAGUAAAUCUUGCUGCUGCUCACUCUGGGUCCGCACUACCUUUAUGAGCUGUAACACUCAAUGCGAGGGUCUGCGACUGCAUUCCUGAAGUCAGCAAGACCACGAACCCACCGGGAGGAACAAACAACUCCAGAUGAGCCACCUUUAAGAGCUGUCUCACUGCAAAGCUCUGCGUCUUCACUCCUGAAGUCAGCGAGACCACGAACCCAAUGGAAGGAAGAAACUCCGGACACAUCUGAACAUCUGAAGGAAGAAACUCCGGACACACCAUCUUUAAGAGCUGUAACGCUCACCGUGAAGGUCCGUGGUUUCAUUCUUGAAGUCAGCGAGACCAAGCACCCACCAAAAGGAAUAAAUUCCAGACACAGUAUUUACAGCCCAGUGUCCACCCAUUCCCCAUGUAGCAACCCCUGGUACCUGAGGAAAAAGAUCACAGCCUCUGCCAAUGGUGGGGCAUCUUUCCGAAGAGGUUCCACUUGGACUUUUUGAAACAUCAUGUGGCUGUGCUGUUUGAGAAGCCUGGGGUGAAGUUAACUAUACAAGAAUCAGGGCAUGAUCACACACGCACACACCUUUGCAAUUUUUCUGGCUUUGUUUA